GGGUCUGUGACAGGGUCCAACAGGGCCUGGUCCGUGUCCGGUCCCCCAAAUCUGUCGUCCCUGCCCCCAGGCAUUGGCAUCAACAAAAGUCAGAAUUCCCGGGAACUUGAACAGAGGCUGCUAAAUUCCCAGUAAUUGCUCCUUUGGCCUUCUAGGGACUGACUUCAAAGAAGGAAGGAAAGAAUCAGGCAGUGCUUCCUCAUUCUCUUUUAAAACCCGCUUCCCGCUGAGUCUGCACCCAGGAGACCAGAGAGCACCUUGCCCUUCCAUGGAAACUCAGGCUGAUCUCGUAUCUCAGGAACCUCAGGCCCUGCUUGACAGUGGUGAGGAAUAAGGACUCAUUCAUUCUUUUACUCAGUCAUUCUGCAAUCAUCCAUUGAAAUCGCUCACUUACCAGCUCUUCCUUCAAAAGUUCCUGCCUUUUCCGACAAGGACAGCCUGGGGGAUGAGAUGUUGGCGGCUGCGCUCCUAAAGGCCAAGUCCCAGGAGCUGGUAACCUUUGAGGAUGUAGC
rnacentral:lncRNA from 10 species